CGCCAACUCUGGGUGUUUCCCGUAAGCUCCGGGACGGAUUUCGCGGAGCGACCGGCCCGUUUGCGUCUUGUCCCGAGUGCGACGACGACAGGCGGUAAACGAUCUGUAGAAUUGGCGAAGAGAUCGAAAGACAGGUCAUUGAAAACAAGUUAGCAAGCUAGCCUUGUGUAGUAGGUCAUGCGGAACUCAACUUCGGAUUAUGCCCGGUGCUUUUCCGCUUGACAUUUCCAGCUGAAACGAAAUUACGUUCGACGGACAGCCGAUGACCCGGAAUAACUUUCCAUUUCGUCAUGGAUUCCAUUGGCCACAUCGCACUCCGACAGAGCAGCACGUCGAUGCUAUCGUCUAUGUCAGCGUUGUGUUUGUGGUCUUUGCCACCAUAGUUCUGCUGCUCCUGGCGACCAAUUGCCGCAGUUCACCCCCGGCAGCCGCACCCCUGACAGCCGAAGAACCCCAGCCUCAACCGACGAUUGUGCACCUCAAGAAUUCCGGUGUUUGUGUGCGCACUGAGACGUUUGCUGAAGAGAACAUUGUGUGAACUGUGCCUGGCACUGUCCAUUACCUUCUCUUUACCAGCGCACUUGGAUAUGGGCUAACAGUGCGGAGCCUAGAAAAGAACAUGGAAGGACAGAAGGGGCGUGCAAUGACGUCUCUAUUUAGAUAACGCAAAACU
rnacentral:lncRNA from 1 species